rnacentral:rRNA from 1 species
GACGAACGCUGGCGGCGUGCUUAACACAUGCAAGUCGAACGGAAAGGCCCUGCGUUUGUGGGGUUCUCGAGUGGCGAACGGGGGAGUAACACGUGAGUAACCUGCCCUUGUCUUUGGGGUAACUUCAGGAAACUGGGGCGAAUACCGCAGAGGAUCUCCUGCUGCAUGGGGUUGGUUGGAGAGUGUCGGCGGUUGUGGCUGGACUCGCGGCUUAUCAGCUUGUUGGUGUGGUAGUGGCUUACCAAGGCUUUGACGGGUAGCCGGCCUGAGAGGGUAAACGGGCACAAUGGGACUGCGAUAGGGAGCAGAAGGGUACGGGCGGCAGCAGUGGGGAAUAUUGCACAAUGGGCGGAAGCCUGAUGUAGAAAUGCCGCGUGCGGGAUGACGGCUUUCGGGUUGUAAACAGAUUUGGCAUGUGACGAAGCGUGCGUGACGGUAAUGGGUCAAGAAGCAACGGCUAACUACGUG